GCUGUCCAGUAGGCCUAGUGUUUCUGUCACACGAGAGGGAUAGCAUCUACCAUUCACCCCUCAGCAUCCUGGGAGCUUCUUCUUGAAUGAAGACUGUAAAUUUGGUCAAGUCAACUCUUAGUUCGGUUUCCUUAACCAUUUGAAUGAUUGACUGUGUGUCCUGCGUGUAUUUCUCUUUGGCAGCGACCAGAGUUACACUGAUGUGUCUCAACCGACCCACUCGGCUGGCAACCACCUAUUUAUUUUCUUCAACACCCCUUGAAGUUGUCCAGUAGGAGACAGAUUAUUUGCUCUCUCUCCCCUUGAGUUAGAAAUCAGGGAUGUGUGCUCUUCCCCUAGACCUGCAAUGUUCAUUAAACACCUAUAGCAAGGAUGGUGGUGGUCCUUCUGUUACCGAAGUCACCCUUCACUGUGGCUGUCUGAAAAGGAGAUGUACUUGGACGUUGUGUAAAUCUUGAGAUAAACUGUCUUGGAGAUUUAACCACCUCUCUGACGGGGGACCAACUCUAUGGAAACUGUAAAUAAGUUUUAUUUAUAAACCUGGC
rnacentral:lncRNA from 1 species